rnacentral:rRNA from 1 species
AUUGAACGCUGGCGGAAUGCUUUACACAUGCAAGUCGAACGGUAGAGGGGGCAACCCCUCGAGAGUGGCGAACGGGUGAGUAAUAUAUCGGAACGUGCCCAGUCGUGGGGGAUAACGUAGCGAAAGUUACGCUAAUACCGCAUACGAUCUAAGGAUGAAAGCGGGGGAUCGCAAGGCCUCGCGCGAUUGGAGCGGCCGAUAUCAGAUUAGGUAGUUGGUGGGGUAAAGGCUCACCAAGCCAACGAUCUGUAGCUGGUCUGAGAGGACGACCAGCCACACUGGAACUGAGACACGGUCCAGACUCCUACGGGAGGCAGCAGUGGGGAAUUUUGGACAAUGGGCGAAAGCCUGAUCCAACCAUUCCGCGUGCAGGAUGAAGGCCCUCGGGUUGUAAACUGCUUUUGUACAGAACGAAAAGGUUUCUACUAAUACUAGGAGCUCAUGACGGUACUGUAAGAAUAAGCACCGGCUAACUACGUGCCAGCAGCCGCCGUAA